GACGAACGCUGGCGGCGUGCCUAAUACAUGCAAGUCGAACGCAGUGGGGACGGGUGAGGAACACGUGGGUAAUCUGCCAUCAGAGGGGAUAACACUUGGAAACAGGUGCUAAACUGACACGGGUGGAUGGACCCGCGGUGGAUUAGGUAGUUGGUGAGGUAACGGCCCACCAAGGCCACGAUGCAUAGCCGGUCUGAGAGGGUGAUCGGCCACACUGGGACUGAGACACGGCCCAGACUCCUACGGGAGGCAGCAGUAGGGAAUCUUCGGCAAUGGACGAAAGUCUGACCGAGCAACGCCGCGUGAGUGAAGAAGGUUUUCGGAUCGUAAAACUCUGUUGUUAGAGAAGCGGUAUCUAACCAGAAAGCCACGGCUAACUACGUGCCAGCAGCCGCGGUAAUUC
rnacentral:rRNA from 1 species